GACGAACGCUGGCGGCGUGCCUAAUACAUGCAAGUAGGACGCAGUUGCGAAUGGGUGAGUAAUGCGUAGGUAAUUGCCUAUUAGAGGGGGAUAACAAUUUGAAACGAUAGCUAAUACCGUAUACUAGCAGAUGGACCUUCGUUGUAUUAGCUAGUAGGUAGGGUAAUGGCCUACCAAGGCGACGAUACAUAGCCGACCUGAGAGGGUGAUCGGCCACACGGGGACUGAGACACGGCCCAGACUCCUACGGGAGGCAGCAGUAGGGAAUCUUCGGCAAUGGGGGGAACCCUGACCGAGCAACGCCGCGUGAGUGAAGAAGGUUUUCGGAUCGUAAAGCUCUGUUGUUAAGGAAGCGGUACUUAACCAGAAAGGGACGGCUAACUACGUGCCAGCAGCCGCGGUAAUUC
rnacentral:rRNA from 1 species